AUCUAAAUAGUUUAAUUAAAAUAUUAAUUUGUGGGAUUAAUGAUAUACUUAGUAUUUUAGAUA
rnacentral:tRNA from 1 species